rnacentral:rRNA from 1 species
GACGAACGCUGGCGGCGUGCUUAACACAUGCAAGUCGAACGGAAAGGCCCUGCUUUUGUGGGGUGCUCGAGUGGCGAACGGGUGAGUAACACGUGAGUAACCUGCCCUUGACUUUGGGAUAACUUCAGGAAACUGGGGCUAAUACCGGAUAUGAGCUCCUGCUGCAUGGUGGGGGUUGGAAAGUUUCGGCGGUUGGGGAUGGACUCGCGGCUUAUCAGCUUGUUGGUGGGGUAGUGGCUUACCAAGGCUUUGACGGGUAGCCGGCCUGAGAGGGGGACCGGCCACAUUGGGACUGAGAUACGGCCCAGACUCCUACGGGAGGCAGCAGUGGGGAAUAUUGCACAAUGGGCGGAAGCCUGAGGCAGCAACGCCGCGUGCGGGAUGACGGCCUUCGGGUUGUAAACCGCUUUCGCCUGUGACGAAGCGUGAGUGACGGUAAUGGGUAAAGAAGCACCGGCUAACUACGUG